rnacentral:lncRNA from 1 species
GAAUUUCGAACAUAGCAUUUACUCUGUCAAAAAUAUUGUUUUGUUUUGGACAGAUGAUUUUUGCAGAGAAGAAGAUUCCGAGCGGUGCAAAAAGUAGUGUUCUUGUGAAUGUUUUGCCGUUUUCUGCAGACUGCUGAAGACAUAACAGCCCGGAAAAGCUCAAACGGGGGAAAGUGAAGCCAUCCUGUGCAACCUGCAAGGGCUAAACACGGUUUUUCACAACUAUGGAUGUGUCUGCAGUGUGGUGGCAACCGAUCCCUCUGCAACGGCACCCAUCGAAUCAGCAAAUGAUCGUGAUAUCCAGCGGAAUCGCCACAACUUAAGUGCACCAAACGGCAACGUCGAUCGGAGUCCCUGCGGGUCGAUACAACAAGCAAUCGCACCAGCAAGAUAAUUUUGCUGCCAUGCCACAGGCGACCGGAUCGGUAGUCAGUGAUGGAACCGCGGGACAACGCAAUGGAACUGCAGUUACCGCCACCAACGCUGAUGCGAUAAGCAAACAGGCAAGCAAGCAGAUUGCAAAAUAGUUUCUCAAACAGAGAGACGGUAGGUUUGAGAAUGACAUGGCCAUCUCUGGUCGUUGAAAAGAUGAAUAAACUAAAACUACGAAACUAAAAA